rnacentral:rRNA from 1 species
GAGUUUGAUCCUGGCUCAGAUUGAACGCUGGCGGCAGGCCUAACACAUGCAAGUCGAACGGUAACAGGAAGAAGCUUGCUUCUUUGCUGACGAGUGGCGGACGGGUGAGUAAUUUCUGGGAAACUGCCUGAUGGAGGGGGAUAACUACUGGAAACGGUAGCUAAUACCGCAUAACGUCGCAAGACCAAAGAGGGGGACCUUCGGGCCUCUUGCCAUCGGAUGUGCCCAGAUGGGAUUAGCUUGUUGGUGGGGUAACGGCUCACCAAGGCGACGAUCCCUAGCUGGUCUGAGAGGAUGACCAGCCACACUGGAACUGAGACACGGUCCAGACUCCUACGGGAGGCAGCAGUGGGGAAUAUUGCACAAUGGGCGCAAGCCUGAUGCAGCCAUGCCGCGUGUAUGAAGAAGGCCUUCGGGUUGUAAAGUACUUUCAGCGGGGAGGAAGGGAGUAAAGUUAAUACCUUUGCUCAUUGACGUUACCCGC